rfam:Gossypium hirsutum cultivar TM-1 chromosome 9, whole genome shotgun sequence
CUCAAGGAAGCGCUUUGUCCACGUGAACACAAAGCGCGCCCUCAAGGAAAGCAUUUUUUGUCCACAUGGACAAAGCACUUCCUUGAGG